AAUGACUCUCGGCAACGGAUAUCUCGGCUCUCGCAUCGAUGAAGAACGUAGCGAAAUGCGAUACUUGGUGUGAAUUGCAGAAUCCCGUGAACCAUCGAGUCUUUGAACGCAAGUUGCGCCCCAAGCUGUUAGGCUGAGGGCACGUCUGCCUGGGUGUCACGC
rnacentral:rRNA from 1 species